GCAAACAGAUAGCUCAGUUGGUAGAGCACAAGACUCUUAAUCUCAGAGUUGUGGGUUCAAGCUCCAUGUUGGGCA